ACGGGGCCGCACAAGCGGUGGAGCAUGUGGUUAAUUCGACGCAACGCGAAGAACCUUACCAGGCUUGACAUCCCCUGACCGCGUAUGAAAGUACGUUUUCACCCUCGGGUGACAGGGAGACAGGUGGUGCAUGGUUGUCGUCAGCUCGUGUCGUGAGAUGUUGGGUUAAGUCCCGCAACGAGCGCAACCCCUACGUUUAGUUGCUAACAGGUGAAGCUGAGCACUCUAGACGAACUGCCGUUGACAAAACGGAGGAAGGUGGGGAUGACGUCAAAUCAUCAUGCCCCUUAUGUUCUGGGCUACACACGUGCUACAAUGGCCGGUACAGACGGAGGCGAAGCCGCGAGGCGGAGCAAAUCCGAAAAAGCCGGUCUCAGUUCGGAUUGCAGGCUGCAAUUCGCCUGCAUGAAGUCGGAAUCGCUAGUAAUCGCAGGUCAGCAUACUGCGGUGAAUACGUUCCCGGGCCUU
rnacentral:rRNA from 1 species